UGGUGCUUGCAGCUGCAUAGACUGCAGCUGCUCAUGCAGUUUUAUACCAUCACUGACUGCAUGCCUGUACCCCUGGCCCUGGGCUACCAUGUUCCAUGUACACCAGCUAGGAUCUAGGAGUCAAGAGUCACCUGCAUCUGCAGCUUGAAAGAAAAGACAAUUGCAAAUUUUCUUAAAGAGUAGAUAGUACCACCAUCUCAAAGAAAAAAGUUAAGUUCCAUUGCAUGCUGUUGGCGCAUGGCAUGUACAUGAUCCCAAAACUCUCUGAAUUCACAGUUUACAAAUCACUGCUAUGCGUAUAACUCCACCAUGUACCAGCUUCAAAGAAAAAGGAUUUAAGUUAUGUUGCUCAUUGCUAAAUAAAUGUGUUUACGUGUUUCUUCCAGCUGCAGAUUUUACCGUACCUCGGCCCCACAAUGUGUACCAGCUAGGAGUCUACUUAACCAACUUCAUCGACUUCAAAGAAACGACUUGCAAGUUAUGUCAGAUUCCAUAAAACUAUAUAGCUAGCUAGAGGGCAACUGUUCCUGGUUUCGACCUUCAUCUGUAGCAUACUGAUUUACGAGUUUGUGUCUUCAUGCACUGGUUUCGACUGGUCAACUUCGUCCAUGGGGUGAUAGCUAGUAUACUGAUUUACGAGUUUGUGUGUAUGUGUCCUCACGUGUCAGUUACACUGGUUUCGACUGGUCAACUUCGUCCAUGGGGUGAUAGCUAGCAUACUGAUUUACGAGUUUGUGUGUAUGUGUCCUCACGUGUCAGUUACACUGGUUUCGACUGGUCAACUUCGUCCAUGGGGUGAUAGCUAGCAUUGUAAUUUACCAGUUUGUGUGUAUGUGUCCUCAUGCGUCAGUUACACUGGUUUCGACUGGUCAACUUCGUCCAUGGGGUGAUAGCUAGCAUACUGAUUUACGAGUUUGUGUGUAUGGCGUCCUCAUGCGUCAGUUACACUGGUUUCGACUGGUCAACUUCGUCCAUGGGGUGAUAGCUAGCAUUGUAAUUUACCAGUUUGUGUGUAUGUGUCCUCAUGCGUCAGUUACACUGGUUUCGACUGGUCAACUUCGUCCAUGGGGUGAUAGCUAGCAUUGUAAUUUACCAGUUUGUGUGUAUGUGUCCUCACGUGUCAGUUACACUGGUUUCGACUGGUCAACUUCGUCCAUGGGGUAAUAGCUAGCAUAUAUAUACUGAUUUACGAGUUUGUGUGUAUGUGUCCUCAUGCGUCAGUUACACUGGUUUCGACUGGUCAACUUCGUCCAUGGGGUGAUAGCUAGCAUUGUAAUUUACCAGUUUGUGUGUAUGUGUCCUCACGUGUCAGUUACACUGGUUUCGACUGGUCAACUUCGUCCAUGGGGUAAUAGCUAGCAUAUAUAUACUGAUUUACGAGUUUGUGUGUAUGUGUCCUCAUGCGUCAGUUACACUGGUUUCGACUGGUCAACUUCGUCCAUGGGGUGAUAGCUAGCAUUGUAAUUUACCAGUUUGUGUGUAUGUGUCCUCACGUGUCAGUUAUACUGGUUUUGACUGGUCAACUUCGUCCAUGGGGUGAUAGCUAGCAUACUGAUUUACGAGUUUGUGUGUAUGUGUCAGUUACACUGGUUUCGACUGGUCAACUUCGUCCAUGGGGUGAUAGCUAGCAUACUGAUUUACGAGUUUGUGUGUAUGUGUUCUCAUGUGUUAGUUACACUGGUUUCGACUGGUCAACUUCGUCCAUGGGGUGAUAGCUAGCAUACUGAUUUACGAUUUUGUGUGUAUGUGUCCUCACGUGUCAGUUACACUGGUUUCGACUGGUUAACUUCGUCCAUGGGGUGAUAGCUAUAGCAUACUGAUUUACGAGUUUGUGUGUAUAUGUGUCCUCACGUGUCAGUUACACUGGUCAACUUCGUCCAUGGGGGUGAUAGCUUAUACUAUUUACAUGUUGCAGUACAUAUGUGUUGGUAACUAUAGUGACUUCAAUCUUUUGUUCUGUAGGGGCUUAUUGUGACGAAAAUGAUCUGAGGGAUGUAGCGUUCAUGAAACCAAACGAAACACCUGCAGUUCACUGUACUGGAAUUUCAAGAAACGCUAAGUGAUGAACACUAAAAACAAUUUACUGACAGAAGAAAUGUAUUGUGCUGCAUGUCAUGUGAUCCAGUGAUCUUAUUCUAUCAUAAACUCA